GCCCUCUAAAAAUUAUAGAAGGUGUUGCCUGCCCACUGACAACAAAAAAAAAUGUAAAUAUUUGAAUUGUAGUUUAAAGGACGCGGUAUCUUGACCGUGAUAAUGUAGCAUAAUCACUCGCCAUUUAAUUGAUGGAUAGUAUGAAUGGCCACACGAGUAUAGCACUGUCUCUAGUGAAAUAUUAUAAAAUUGGAAUAUUAGUAAAGAUACUAAUUAUAAUUGUAAGACGAAAAGACCCUAUAGAGCUUAACUAUAUUUUUUACUAAAAAAUAGGAAUUUAUUUCUAAAAAGUAAAAAAUGGUAGUUUGGUUGGGGCGACCGCUUUCUAAAUAUAACGAAAGUAAACAAAAUCCUUUUAUAGAUUUACUGUAUAAGUAAUAAUUUUAACAGUUAUAAAUAUAGGUAAUAAUGACCCGUUUAUUAUUUAAACAAAUGUAAACGAUCAAUAAAUAAAAGCUACCUUAGGGAUAACAGGAUAAUUUUAUUUUAGAGUUCAUAUCAAAAAUAAAGUUUGUCACCUCUAUGUUGAAUUAAGAUAUCCAAACGGUGCAGAAGUCAUUAAAGGUAGGUCUGUUCGACCUUUAAAAU
rnacentral:rRNA from 1 species